GUUUUUUUAUCCAAUAUGAUGUAUAUUAAUGUUUUUAAUUUUUAUUUUACAGGAACAUAUCAAAUUCAUAUGUUCUUAUGUGAUACAGGACAUAUGAAGCAUUACGAAAAUUAUCAAAUUACUAUAUUCUUAUGUGAAUCAGGAAACUCAGAGAAUCUAAAGAAGAAACCUCUAAAGAUCUACCCUAAGCAAAACUCAUCAACAUAAAAAAUAAAACCAAAGUUUAGAGAAAAUUCUAACAACACAAAAAAAAAAAAUUGAUAAAUUGUUUUGCUAAGUUUGAGUAAAUGAUAAAAUAGAUUUGAAUUUUUGGGUAGAUGAUAAAUUAUUAUUUUGGUAAUUACAUCAUGUAUUGUAAGUAUGUAGCUUUUACAAACGAAAUCUUUUUAUAAUAUUUUAUGUA